rnacentral:misc_RNA from 1 species
AGCAGCCGCGGUAAUUCCAGCUCCAAUAGCGUAUAUUAAAGUUGUUGCAGUUAAAAGCUCGUAGUUGAAUUUCGGGGUCUGUCCGUCGGUCGGGCUUCACGGUCCGUACUGGUGUGAUGGGUUCCUACCUUCUGAAUAACCGGCAUGCCAUUCAGUUGGUGCGCCGGGGAAGCAGAGCUAUUACCUUGAAAAAUUAGAGUGCUUAAAGCAGGCUAGUGCUUGAAUAGAUUAGCAUGGAAUAAUAAAAUAGGACGGCAUGGUUCUAUUUUGUUGGUUUCUAGGAUCACCGUAAUGAUUAAUAGGGAUAGUUGGGGGCAUUAGUAUUCAAUUGUCAGAGGUGAAAUUCUUGGAUUUAUUGAAGACUAACUUCUGCGAAAGCAUUUGCCAAGGAUGUUUUCAUUAAUCAAGAACGAAAGUUAGGGAUCGAAGACGAUCAGAUACCGUCGUAGUCUUAACCACUAGACUAUAGCCGACUAGGGAUCGGGAC